rnacentral:lncRNA from 1 species
UUCCAACCCUUCCCUCCCACCAGUGAGGAGGAGGGGAGGGAUCUGAGGAAAAGAAGAUUGGUGUGGGGAGGGAGGGAGGGAAGAAAAGGAAUUUCAGUCCCGGUGGUCCAGGCUUCUCACCCUUUGGGAUGUGACUUGCCUCGGUUUCUCCUCCCUAAGUCCCCGCUCCUGGACAGGCCUCUGCCCAAACUUGAGUUCCACUCUCCCCGCUCUCUUCCACAGCCUCCCCUUCUAACUGAAGCAACACUUUGCAAAGAGGUCACCCUGCAGAGGCACGCUCAGGGCCACCUCAAGUCUGGGCAGUCAGGCUCCAUUUCACCCCGGGACUUCUGGGGGGAAGGCCGGAGUCUGGGGCUUGGCCUCGUGGAUAUCUGGCCCUGGACCCAGGCCCCGGGCAGGCCCCGGGGCCGCUGCCCUCUCCGUAGGCAGGUGUUGCUACAGGCUGGAAUUCUUCGACACCGCUGGGGUCCAGCCUCCCGGCCAGGCUCGGCCUGCCAGGGCCCUGUAGGAUGCCACCCACGUAGACAGGGUGGAGGGGACCUCCCGUCCGGUGGCCACCAAGGGGCUGGGGUGAGAAGUCAGAGGGGCCCCCCAGCCGGCUGGGGCUCCUGCUCUGCCCCUGCCCCCUCCCAAGUUGCAAGGAAUCUGAGCCACAGCCCCUGCCCCGGGAGCACCGGGAAGCCUCCCCCCCCCCACCCCCCCAGGCUGGAGGAGACAAAAGCGGUUGGCACCUACCUGGGGUGGAAGAAGGGUGUUGGCUGGGGCAGGUGGAUGCUGCCCGGGGCGGUGAGCCAGAGCCGGGCCGGCCGCCGGCCCCCUGGGCCGCCCUCCUCUCCUCCCCGGCUCGCCUCAGCCGCUCGCUGCUGUCCUGGUGCGGCGGUGGCGGCCGCGGUGGCGGUGGCGGGCGAGGGCGCUUGUGUGUGUGCGCGCCCGGAGCCACUGCAGCAUCUCUGCAUCAAGAUGUGCUCCUCCCUCUCCCAGGCUCCGCUCACUGGCUGGCUCCGGUCCUCAGCCAACGCUCGGGGGCCCUGGAGAUGGCUUCCUUCUGCCCCCCUCCCACCCCCUUCCCGUCCCCACCCUUCUGGCUUUACCUCAUUUGCUGUCAUUUAA